rnacentral:lncRNA from 1 species
GGAAAUGUAGCUGUUUCUAAUCUCACAGCACACACAUUGACCAGCAAACAGACUCUGAUGUUAAACGUGGGUUGACUUUCACUUCAUUCUCUUUCUCUGUAGCCUGGUUUUGUGAACUUACUGGACUACCCAGAACCGGACGUGUGCCUAAGGACGUCCAAAUUCAAUAAAAUCUAACAGAAUACGUGAUCAUUGGCUGGACAAUCCUGGACUUUGACAGACUGGCGGUUAAGAAAAGACAUGGGGCAUAUGAAGAUUGGCGGGACUGGUCCAGGUUGGCUUUCUUUGCCACUGUUCUGUAAGUGCUACAUGCUCUACAAACCAGGCUGCCUGUGCCAGCAGCAGCUGAGAGGGAGCCAUCCGCUGUCACGCUGUGAGGAGAUAUGACCUAAAAACCCUAGGACCAUACCUCAGGACUACCUGGCAUGAUGACUCCUUGCUGUCCCCAGUACCUGGCUGUGCUGCUGCUCCAGUUUUAAAUGUUCUGCCUGCGGCUAUGGAACCCUGACCUGUUCGCCGGACGUGCUACCUUUUCCAGACCUUCUGUUUUCAACUCUCUAGAGACAGCAGGAGCGGUAGAGAUACUCUCAACGAUCGGCUAUGAAAAGCCAACUGACAUUUACUCCUGAUGUGCUGACCUGUUGCACCCUCGACAACUACUGUGAUUAUUAUUAUUUGACCAUGCUGGUCAUUUAUAAACAUUUGAACAUCAUGGCCAUGUUCUGUUAUAAUCACCACCCGGCACAGCCAGAAGAGGACUGGCCACUCCUCAUAGCCUGGUUCCUCUCUAGGUUUCUUCCUAGGUUUUGGCCUUUCUAGGGAGUUUUUCCUAGCCACUGUGCUUCUACACCUGCAUUGCUUGCUUUUUGGGGUUUUAGGCUGGGUUUCUGUACAGCACUUUGAGAUAUCGGCUGAUGUAAGAAGGGCUAUAUGAAUACAUUUGAUUUGAUAUUCGGAUAUUAGUAAUUGACUGACCAGGUCUCUCCAGAUCUGCCAACAAUGCUAUUUCUAUGGUCAAUUUUAGAUUAUUGUUAUGCUUUUUCAGCCAUUCCUGAACCUGAGACCAGGAACAGGCUACCUGAGGGCAAUACCUGAACAAAUGGUCUAUUGAUUCUGUAUCCUCACGAUACAAUCUGCAGAGCUGUGAUGAUUGUAUGUCACCGAAAUUCAAUAUUGUUUCGGUGGCAAGAAUUCUGUACAAUAAUUUUAGCCGAAAGGCACGAAAGGCACGAAGUCUUGAAUCUUGUGUCAUUUUAUAUAUCAGCUCAAACACCCUGUGCCAUGGAAUUGGUACAUAAAAAAUUACUUACCAGCUAUUUUGCACAGCUGCACAGGUGUCAACCUCCUGGUCCUUAAAUGAAACUGGUAAACUUUCCUAUUUAUGCUAUUUUUGUUCCUCUGACAGUUUUGGUCCUUUAUAUUGGGCAGACAGACCAGUUUCCUACAUCCUCCCGCUGCCACCUGCCUCCUCCAUUUUUGGGGUAAUGCUGUAAUCAAUUGGUUGUAAUAUUGGAUUGAGUAGACCUACCCAUACAAUUCCAAUAGCUCCAUAAAGGACAUAACUUUACCAUUCCAAUUUACAAUAUAAUUUAAAAAUUAAAAGGUAAAAUUAUUACCUUUGACUCAUUUCUCUCUGCCUCCUUCUUUCCACUCCUCUCCUCUUUUGGCCUCACCCUC